GCAACGCGUGAGUAACCUGCCUUUCAGAGGGGGAGUAACGUUCUGAAAAGAAACGCUAAUACCGCAUGAGACUACAGAGCUGCAUGGCUCAGUGGUCAAAGGAGCAAUCCGCUGAAAGAUGGACUCGCGUCCGAUUAGAUAGUAGGCGGGGUAACGGCCCACCUAGUCGACGAUCGGUAGCCGGACUGAGAGGUUGAACGGCCACAUUGGGACUGAGACACGGCCCAGACUCCUACGGGAGGCAGCAUG
rnacentral:rRNA from 1 species